GGGUCAGUAGGUUGGUCGUGCCACCGGUACGUACUGGUCUCACUGAUUCCUCCUUCCUGAAGAGCCGUAAUGCCAUUAAUUUGGUGUUGCGGGGAGACAGGACUGUUACUUUGAAAAAAUUAGAGUGUUUAAAGCAAGCUAACGCUUGAAUACAUUAGCAUGGAAUAAUGAAAUAGGACGAUCGAUCCUAUUUUGUUGGUUUCUGGGAUUGACGUA
rnacentral:rRNA from 1 species